UACGUAGGUGGCAAGCGUUGUCCGGAUUUAUUGGGUUUAAAGGGUGCGUAGGUGGUUUGAUAAGUCAGUGGUGAAAGCUGGUUGCUCAACAAUCAAGUUGCCAUUGAUACUGUCAGACUUGAGAGAAGUGGAGGCUCAUGGAAUGGAUGGUGUAGCGGUGAAAUGCAUAGAUAUCAUCCAGAACGUCGAUUGCGAAGGCAGUGGGCUGUACUUUUUCUGACACUGAGGCACGAAAGCGUGGGGAUCAAACAGG
rnacentral:rRNA from 1 species